CCCAGCUGCAGAGAAUCAGAGGGACUACUCAAGCAGAGCUGAGAAGUCAGUCUAGGGGAGAGAGACCAUAGAGAAGUCAGGACUCUUCUGCAGAUGGGGUCGGUCAGGUUACUGAAAUAAUUAUUGUGCUCUGCUUGGCACUGGUUAAAGCUUAACUGGAGUAACUGCAUUCAGUUCUGUAUGGGGAAAAAAGACACAUGGACCAAUUGAAGAGUUUAGAGGAGCGCAACAAAGCUGGCUUAAUGGCAACAUAAUGUAUCAUCUAAAUUGGAAGCAACAUGACAUCAAGAUAAGCUGGAGGAUCAGUUGAUGCAAAUUGCCUUAUGUUAGCAAGAUCCCUUGUACUCCCAUUGAAAUAACUCACUGUACUUGAGUAUGAGAGAAGGUAAAACACAACUGGAUCCCAGAAAGUGGAUUAGGCACUCAUCCUAUUCCUGAGUGUUACAUGGUGAACUCCUCCAGUAUUAAUUACUGCAUCUGAAGAAGCAAAUCUCUGACACGCGCAGUUUCCAUUUGGAUCAAAUGGCACAUGCAUUUUGGAAAGGGGGCCUUAUUGAAAGACAGACAUUUGAUGCAAUAGUUACUUUCAAAAAAAAUCCCAUUUUGAGCUCUUGUUCUUUUACACUGAUGCACAAAAAUAACAAAUGCAACCAAACCCGCCUCCCUCCCCCAGACAAAAACCAAAGCCCAUAACAAGAAAGCCCCCUUCCUGAUGGUCAGCCAAAAAUGGAAAAAAGUGAACAAAGACGACCUCUAAAGGAAAACAGCAGCCAUGGGGACAUAUGCAGUGAGUUAAGGACACAGCGGCAGCUACACUGACAGAAGAAAGAUGACUCUAAAGUAUAAGUCAAAGCCCUAAUAUAAUGGUAAUGUAGCUCUUCUUCCCUUGAAUUACUUUUGGUAUUUUAGUUUAUUCUUUAUUAAAGUUCUGUUAAAACACACUUCCAAACUUUUUACAAUCUGGAUUGUCUUUUUGCAACCACAGCCCUGCCCAAUUGCCACUGUCAGAAACUCUUCCCAUACUUUGACCAAAUCAUGCAGAUUCAUG